GUGUCAGCAGCCGCGGUAAUACGUAGGCAGCGAGCGUUGUUCGGAAUUACUGGGCGUAAAGAGUGUGUAGGCGGUGUUCCAAGUCUGGUGUGAAAUCUCCCGGCUCAACUGGGAGGGUGCGCCGGAAACUGGGAUGCUAGAGUGUGGGAGAGGUAAGCGGAAUUCCUGGUGUAGCGGUGAAAUGCGUAGAUAUCAGGAGGAACACCUGUGGUGUAGACAGCUUACUGGACCACGACUGACGCUGAGACACGAAAGCGUGGGUAGCAAACAGGAUUAGAUACCCUUGUAGUCC
rnacentral:rRNA from 1 species